AUUGAACGCUGGCGGCAGGCCUAACACAUGCAAGUCGAGCGGCAGCGACUUAACUGAACCUUCGGGGGACGUUAAGGGCGGCGAGCGGCGGACGGGUGAGUAAUGCCUGGGAAUAUGCCCUGAUGUGGGGGAUAACUAUUGGAAACGAUAGCUAAUACCGCAUAAUCUCUUCGGAGCAAAGAGGGGGACCUUCGGGCCUCUCGCGUCAGGAUUAGCCCAGGUGGGAUUAGCUUGUUGGUGAGGUAAUGGCUCACCAAGGCAACGAUCCCUAGCUGGUCUGAGAGGAUGAUCAGCCACACUGGAACUGAGACACGGUCCAGACUCCUACGGGAGGCAGCAGUGGGGAAUAUUGCACAAUGGGGGAAACCCUGAUGCAGCCAUGCCGCGUGUGUGAAGAAGGCCUUCGGGUUGUAAAGCACUUUCAGUAGGGAGGAAGGUAGUGUAGUUAACACCUGCACUAUUUGACGUUACCUACAGAAGAAGCACCGGCUAACUCUGUGCCAGCAGCCGCGGUAAUACGGAGGGUGCGAGCGUUAAUCGGAAUUACUGGGCGUAAAGCGCAUGCAGGCGGCCUGUUAAGUCAGAUGUGAAAGCCCGGGGCUUAACCUCGGAAUUGCAUUUGAAACUGGCAGGCUAGAGUCUUGUAGAGGGGGGUAGAAUUUCAGGUGUAGCGGUGAAAUGCGUAGAGAUCUGAAGGAAUACCAGUGGCGAAGGCGGCCCCCUGGACAAAGACUGACGCUCAGAUGCGAAAGCGUGGGGAGCAAACAGG
rnacentral:rRNA from 1 species